GGGUUAGUAGGUUGGUCAUGCCUCUGGUAUGUACUGGUCUCACUGAUUCCUCCUUCCUGAUGAGCCGUAAUGCCAUUAAUUUGGUGUUGCGGGGAAUUUGGACUGUUACUUUGAAAAAUUAGAGUGUUUAAAGCAAGCUAACGCUUGAAUACAUUAGCAUGGAAUAAUGAAAUAGGACGUUCGAUCCUAUUUUGUUGGUUUCUAGGAUUGACGUAAUGAU
rnacentral:rRNA from 1 species